AAGCCAACAAAAUGAGAUGAUACAGAAACUUUAUUGGAGACCAGGCUUUUCCUGAACUUGGAGAAAAGCCCAUCUGCAACAACAGUCAGUGGAGCAUGGAGUUCCUAUAACAGAAAUGAAGACUACUCAGUUUAGUAGUCAGAAACACACAGUAAAAAAAGCCAUUCUUAAAAAAUGUGCGUGAAGAGAUUUAGAUAUAUUAUCAGAUAGCAUUAUAGAGAGUAGUUGAAGAUAAUACUAUUGAAGAAACUGUUACGUGGGCUUCAGAUAACGCAUGACCAGUGUUUAGAUACUUCCUCUGAGUCCCUGAGGAUCAUCUCCCUUUGUAGCCCUCCCAUGCAAACCAUCUGGGAUUACUCUCCACUUUGACAGACAAUGGGGGAAACAACUACAAGGCAGGCAUGUAACACAGAGCAGUCAAUCUCAUUACAAAUUCAAGGGACUAGCCAGAUUCUUUCAUUCUAAAAUUUCCUAACUUCAUAUAGUGCUUUUAGUCAGCAGCUAGGGCUUAGAAGAAUUUUUGUACAAAUGACUACAUGUAUUUAUAAUACUACAGUAUGAGCAGAGAAAACAUUCCAGUCACCUUCAUUAGAGGACAAUUUCUAAGAGGUGGUAACCCUAUGGGGAGCAGUCCAGAAUUACAUGUUUUUUACUACGAUAAUUUUUUUUUAAAAAAAGGAAAAAUUGGCCGGGUGCGGUGGCUCACGCCUGUAAUCCCAGCACUUUGGGAGGCUGAGGUGGGCAGAUCACCUGAGGCUGGAAGUUCAAGAGCAGCCUGACCAACAUGGAGAAACCCCGUCUCUAUUAAAAAUACAAAAUUAGCCGGAUGCGGUGAAGCAUGCCUGUAAUCCCAGCUACUCAGGAGGCUGAGGCAGGAGAAUCGCUUGAACCUGGGAGGUGGAGGUUGCAGUGAGCCGAGAUCGCACCAUUGCACUCCAGCCUGGGCAACAAGAGUGAAACUCCGUCUCAAAAAAUAAAACAAAAUAAAAUAAAAUAAAAUAAAAGGAUAAAUUGUUUUUAAAAAGAUUCUCUUACUAUUACCUGAGUUAAAUUGCUCAUUUUAUCUGAAUCAUUUCUUUUAUGUUGAAUCUUGCCUUCUUUCCCCUGCUAGUUCCCCUCUGCUUCUCUGCUGAUGUAUAUUACUGUUUCAAAAACUAUUCACAUUAGUUCUGUUUAAAAUGUUUUUUGCAUAGCAUUCUGAAGUCCUCUAAAGAACAAUGUGUUGCAAUCUGAAACCCAUCCUGUUGCAUAUGGCUUAGAAAGAACUCAGUUCAUUUGAUAAAUAACACAGGCUGAGUAUCUCUAAUCCAAAAAUCUGAAAUCCAAAACUUUUUGAGCAGUAAUGUGACAAACAAAAUACUCAUUAGAUCAUUUCAAAUUUCAGAUUUUCAGAUUAGAGAUGCUCAACUGGUAAGUAUAAUGCAAACAUCUGAAAAAAAUAAAAAAUCUGAAACACUUCUGAUCCCUAGCAUUUCAGAUAAGAGAUACUCAACAUGUAAACCGGUAAGCCUACUUUUUUAAAGGGGUAAGUGAAAAAGCAGGAAAAACAACAUCUCUUAGGAAGAGGUGACAUUUGGUAUUUCUCACCUUGAUAUCUCCAGUCUCUUUAUCCUUGUACUGAACUCCCAUCACAACAUCAUCUUCCUCUAAUAACUGUAACACAACACCUUCAAUAAACUUUGCACUAAAGAAUAAAAAAAAAUACAUUUCUAAAGCAGCACAUUUCAGCAAUUUAAAUUAAAUAUAAAUUCCUUAUCUCCAGUUUAUCCAUAUAAACUGGACAUGCAUGUGUGUGCAAACACGUGUCCAAUGUGUGUUUUUUAUUUUCUAAUUUAUCAACAUUUAAUACAUAUUACUAAUGAUUACAUUAGUAAUCAUUAGUAAUCAUUAAAUAUUUUAAAAAUAUUUUAAAAAGUAACAUUGGAUUUUCAUCUUAAUUUGUUAAAAAUAAAUUAAUUUGUUAAAAAAUAAAAUAUAGGCAGAGAAACUUUACAUACCCUCAUACAUUCAUACACAGAGGGGAAAACAAGUAUUGGAAUGCAUCCUGCAAACUGUUAAGAGUAAUUAUUUCUGGCAGGGCACGGUGGCUCACACCUGUAAUCCCAGAACUUUGGGAGGCCAAGGUGGGCGGAUCACAAGGUCAGGAGAUCAAGGCCAUCCUGGCCAACAUGGUGAAACCCCGUCUCUCCUCUAAAUUCCCGUCACAUAAAAAUUAUGUAAUUUUCAUUUAGUCAAAGGAGAACUCUUCAUAGUUCCAUGUCAAAGGAAAAUUCUCUAUAUGAUAUUCUUAACAAAAGCACUGAAUAUCUAACACUCUUUUGACUGACAGUUUAUUUUAAUAUACAUAUGUUCUAGACUAUGCCCCAAAAAUUCAUUAAAAUUUAUAAAAUCUUAUUUGUACAAAGGUCAAAUUUAAAUGCAUUGAUUCUUUAGUAAUUAUAUAUUUGAAACUGUGGUCUUACUUGGGCUCUGCCAUAGCUGCUUUCCGGAGACUCAUGAUGAAUCUUCCGUGAUGGAAAGCUCUUCCACUCUGCACUUGAUUGUUUUCUGACAGAGGGUAAGGAAUCUGAACCUCUGAUUUGCUUUCCUGAUCAUGAAUCAUGUAACCAUUUACAACCUGGGCAUCAAGACCUUCCACUGUAUCUGCAAAGCAAUCGAGUUCAAAACAAUCAAUUCUGUUAACACACCCAGCGUUAAACUAAGAACCAAAGAAGACACACACACAUCAAAAAUGAGUCUCUGCCUUCAAAUCUGGAGAACUGAACAAAACUAAUGUAACUAUUUCAGAAACUGUGAAUGCUUCUGGAAGUCAAUGAGAGUCUUAGCAAAUCUGUAAUAUCAUUUAAAGAUAACAACAUAACUAUUUCAGGUCUGUAAUUCCACUUCAACUUCAGAAAGAAAAUGCAACAUGAAAUAAACCAUAAUCCUCUCCUGAGUAAACCUGUUCUGCCAUAAAGACAUAGGAACACAUUUAGUCCUUCUUAACACUUCUUUCAAUGUAUGAAUAUGUAGAUUUGUCACCAAAAAGAAAUAAAAAUAAAAUAAAACCAGUAUGGAAACUCAAAAAAAAACCCCAAUUUAUAUAUAAUGACUGAAUAUAUGAAAAAGUAGAUUUUCCAAACCAAAUGGAAAGGGUAGAGUUAUCCCCCAACUGUUGAUGAUUACAUACUAUCCAUUAAAAGUGACUCAGGACAAACUGCAAAGAACUUUUUAGUACAUCAAAUAAUUUAAAUGGCAGCAAACAAAACACUGAAUUCAUCAGAAUCAUGUAAAAACUUCUUUCUUAAAUCUAAAGCAGCAAAAGCAGUUGAAAAAUAAAAAACUUUCAAUAGAAAAUAUCACAUUUUUAAAGUGCCAACCGAAAAUUAGAAAGUUAAAAAAUUAAUUUUAAAAAUAAAAACUAAAACAAUACUUUGGGAAAGACAUAUGAAAUAGAACAAAAGAUUAAUACAUGUAUAUAUAAUAAAAUUUACUCAUUAAAAACCACUGGAAAAAUAUUAAGACGCCAAUAGUAAUGGACAAAAACAUGUAUGGAUGAUUCAUAUAAAGCAAUAUAGAAACAGUGAACAAAUCAGAAAAAAUGUUCAAACGAUAAAAAAAAUUAAGUAAAAAUUGAAACAACAGGACACCAUCAAAAUCACUGAUGAGAUUAUGAUAAAACUGAUAAAUUCAUAUACUACUGGUGAUACUAUGAACUAAUAUUAUAUUUUAGAAAAUAUAACAAUAAUUAUCAAGAACCAUGAAGAAAUUAGCAUCCUUCGAUGUAAUAAUCUUACUCUUGGAAAUCCAUGUAAGAAAUUCAUCCUAAAGACAUAAUAUUUAAUAAUCUUUAAAGUUACAUGCAAGAAUAGGUUCACUAUAGUGUUACCUAAAAAAGGAUAACUGAAAAUAACCUAAACAUUCAUCUAAGUUUGAAAAGUGAAGUACAUUAUGAAGUCAACUGAAAAACAACUAUGCUUGGGCUUAAAAAGAUACUGAUAAAGAAUGGUUAACAGUAUUGGAAAUAUGUUUCUGUCAAGUGAAAAAGUGGACUCUAGUAUAUAUAUUAGUGACAUAAAAUGUUCAAAUAUGGUAUUGACUGGAUGUCUGUGUCCUCCCAAAAUUCCUAAGCUAAAACUCUAAUCCCCAAUGUGAUGAUAUUUGGAGAUGGAGCCUUUAGAAGGUGAUUAGGUCAUGAGGGUAGACUCUCACGAUAGGAUUAGUGCCCUUGGAAAAAAAGACAGGGGAGGGCUUGCUUCUUUGUGUCUCUCCCACCUUCCCCACCCCACCCCACCCCACCACCCCAUCCCCACACAAAG
rnacentral:lncRNA from 10 species